UACGAAGGGGGCUAGCGUUGCUCGGAAUCACUGGGCGUAAAGGGUGCGUAGGCGGGUCUUUUAAGUCAGGGGUGAAAUCCUGGAGCUCAACUCCAGAACUGCCUUUGAUACUGAAGAUCUUGAGUUCGGGAGAGGUGAGUGGAACUGCGAGUGUAGAGGUGAAAUUCGUAGAUAUUCGCAAGAACACCAGUGGCGAAGGCGGCUCAC
rnacentral:rRNA from 1 species